rnacentral:tRNA from 1 species
UAUAUUUUAGUAUUGAAUGUACGAAGGUUUUUGGGACCUUAAGAGAGGCUUGGGCCUUAAAUAUAG